AGAGGGAUAGCUGAGUCAAAUGGUGGUUCCAUUCCCAGAUUUCCAAGGAAUCUCCAUACUGUUUUCCAAAUUUGCUUCACCAAUUUGCAGUCCCACCAGCAGU
rnacentral:pre_miRNA from 1 species